rnacentral:rRNA from 1 species
AUACGGAGGGUGCAGGCGUUAUUCGGAAUCACUGGGCGUAAAGGACGCGUAGGCGGGUUGGCAAGUCAGAUGUGAAAUCCUACAGCUUAACUGUAGAACUGCAUUUGAAACUGCUAACCUAGAGUAUGGGAGGGGGAGAUGGAAUUAGUGGUGUAGGGGUAAAAUCCGUAGAUAUCACUAGGAAUACCGAAAGCGAAGGCGAUCUCCUGGAACAUAACUGACGCUAAGGCGUGAAAGCGUGGGGAGCAAACAGGAUUAGAAACCCUAGUAGUCC